ACGAACGCUGGCGGCGUGCUUAACACAUGCCAGUCGAACGGAAAGGCCCUGCUUUUGUGGGGUGCUCGAGUGGCGAACGGGUGAGUAACACGUGAGUAACCUGCCCUUGACUUUGGGAUAACUUCAGGAAACUGGGGCUAAUACCGGAUAGGAGCUCCUGCUGCAUGGUGGGGGUUGGAAAGUUUCGGCGGUUGGGGAUGGACUCGCGGCUUAUCAGCUUGUUGGUGGGGUAGUGGCUUACCAAGGCAUUGACGGGUAGCCGGCCUGAGAGGGUGACCGGCCACAUUGGGACUGAGAUACGGCCCAGACUCCUACGGGAGGCAGCAGUGGGGAAUAUUGCACAAUGGGCGGAAGCCUGAUGCAGCAACGCCGCGUGCGGGAUGACGGCCUUCGGGUUGUAAACCGCUUUCGCCUGUGACGAAGCGUGAGUGACGGUAAUGGGUAAAGAAGCACCGGCUAACUACGUG
rnacentral:rRNA from 1 species